CGAUGCGGAGACUCCUUACUGCUGUAAGUGAGCUGACCAAAGAAGUCAGGGACCUGCGGCAGGAGUUCCGAGAAUUCCACCAGUCCUGCAGGUGUGGCCAGGCUGUAGCGCCAGUGGGACCUCAGCUGGGGGUGCCCUUCGGCUUGCCAUUGUGCAAUUUAGAGGCACUAGACCAAGCAGAGGCCGCUCUGCAAACAGAGGACAACCAGGGAGCAAUGACUGUACUGCUUGCCAAAAUUGGAGGGACCACUGUGGAGCUCAAAAUCCGGAGGAUGCUGGCAUGGACCCUCACAAAUGAGCUAGCUUCUGAAAUCAACUGGGCUGGGAAAAAAAACAAGGAUCCAUCCAAACAGAAGCGCCCUUUCAGAGAGCUGGCUCUCUCCAAGUGCAUGUUUGAUGCUCUUGUUCUGGAGGGAGGAACAGCCACACAAUUUGAGUUUGCACAGGUGGUGCAGAAGUGGCUGCGCUACGCACCGGAUAGGGCAGGGGGGAC